rnacentral:rRNA from 1 species
AUGAUCACAUUUAAUGAUUUCAUCCGGACGCAAGGACUCAUUGAACUCCCAAUUAAAGGUAGAUCAUAUACAUGGAGCAACAUGCAAAGUUACCCCCUUCUGGAACAAUUAGACUGGUUUCUUACCUCCACUAAUUGGACAAUUUCAUACCCAAAUACAAUGGUGAAACCUUUGGGUAAACUAGUUUCAGACCAUUGA